CCAAGGCGACGAUCAGUAGGGGGUCUGAGAGGAUGAUCCCCCACACUGGUACUGAGAUACGGACCAGACUCCUACGGGAGGCAGCAGUAGGGAAUAUUGGUCAAUGGGCGCAAGCCUGAACCAGCCAUGCCGCGUGCAGGAUGACGGCCUUCUGGGUUGUAAAGCACUUUCAAUUGUGAAGAAAAGCCUAAGGUUAAUAACCUUGGGUCUUGACGUUAACUUUAGAAGAAGCACCGGCUAACUCCGUGCCAGCAGCCGCGGUAAUACGGAGGGUGCAAGCGUUAAUCGGAAUUACUGGGCGUAAAGCGCGCGUAGGCGGUUUAGUCAGUCAGAUGUGAAAGCCCUGGGCUCAACCUGGGAACUGCAUUUGAUACUGCUAAGCUAGAGUAUGGUAGAGGCAAGUGGAAUUCCAGGUGUAGCGGUGAAAUGCGUAGAUAUCUGGAGGAACAUCAGUGGCGAAGGCGACUUGCUGGACCAAUACUGACGCUGAGUGCGAAAGCGUGGGUAGCAAACAGGAUUAGAUACCCUGGUAGUCCACGCUGUAAACGAUGUCAACUAGCCGUUGGGACCAUUUAAAGGUUUUAGUGGCGCAGCUAACGCGAUAGUUGACCGCCUGGGGGAGUACGGC
rnacentral:rRNA from 1 species